rnacentral:rRNA from 1 species
ACCUACGGGGGGCAGCAGUGGGGAAUAUUGCACAAUGGGGGAAACCCUGAUGCAGCGACGCCGCGUGAAGGACGAAGUAUUUCGGUACGUAAACUUCUAUCAGCAGGGAAGAAAAUGACGGUACCUGACCAAGAAGCCCCGGCUAACUACGUGCCAGCAGCCGCGGCAAUACGUAGGGGGCAGGCGUUAUCCGGAUUUACUGGGGGUAAAGGGAGCGUAGACGGCCGUGCAAGUCUGAUGUGAAAACCCGGGGCUCAACCCCGGGACUGCAUUGGAAACUGCAUGGCUGGUGUGUCGGAGCGGCG